GACUGGAGGACCCCCUGGGCCUCGGUGGCCAGCCAAUCUAGCUGAAUCAGUGGACCAAGGUUCAAUGAGAGACCCUGCCAGUGUAGAGCGGGGCUGCCAACCUCGUUGUCAUGUGCACAUCAGGUGCCCUUUGUAAAAUGGAGGCUGGAAAGGAGGAGUUCACCGUGGGAGCACUUGGGCCCACAUCGUGACCUGGACCCGGCAGUUGUGGGACGCACAUGUCACGGCACACGUGUGGAGGUCAGAGGACAUCGUGUGGGACUUGGUUCUCUUCUCCAUAAGGAUCAAACUCAGGUUGUCCUGCGGUAAGCACCUUUACCCAGUAAGCUAUCCUGUCGGCCCCCGCCCCGCUCCGUUUAAAGAGGGCCUAUUGUUUGCCGAUACUGUAGCAGGCAGAAAAGCAUCGCCCGCCCUCUUGACCUGUCUAUGUUGCCGAAGUCCAAGGGUCACACAUCCAGGUAUCAGAGAGUAGAGUUCGGCUUCCUCAGCUCAGCUCAGCCUGCAACUGACGGGAACCAGGGAAGACAGAGGGAGAGAAGUCACCUGACCCUGUGAGCCUUCUGUCUCUGUCUCCAUUGCUCUGGGGUCUCUGCGUGGCCCCACAGGGAAACACCAUCCUGUCCUCUCACUGAUGAGAAGCUGAAACCAGGCACUGUGAUGGACACUUUCAUUGCGCAGGACCCCAUGCUUCCCCGCUCUGUCCUCAGCUCCCGUUCCUAGGGAACCUGCUCUGUGCCUGCAGAGGCUUUGGUCGGAAUAGCUUGGGGUGCUACUGGCAUCAAGUGGGGAAGCAUGGAUUCCCACAACUACGUAUAGUGCACGGGUCACCAAGACAGAGCCGCAUCUCCAGCGUAUGUCAGCGGUGCUAAAGAUGCAGCUGAUCUUCACGCCGUGGUCCCGUUCCUGUCAGGCCCAUCGCACCUGCCUUGGAUGCUGUUUUAUUUGGGGCCCACCCAGCGUGGUGUCUCUAGGAGAGUGUUUUUCUUUACCCCACCCUACCUUAUACAGGAGGAGACCAUGGCUGCCAAGGGCACACAAGUGACAGGAGUGGCUUCACUUGCGUCUGCCUCACUGGCCAGUCUGAUCUCAUGUUCCUUGGAUUCCACCGGGUCUGUCAUCCCUUCGGCCUGCCCCACAACCGCGCUAUUUUGUGUUAGUUAUUUAAGUGUCUCAUUCACCACUUCCGGUGUCCAGCUUCUGUAGUUAUUACCCCUGAACCUUACUGGUAGUCUGCCUUCGCAGCCACGGCGGCCACCACGUGUUGACCUGCACAUUAAAACUUUAAAUUUAUUUAUUUA